rnacentral:rRNA from 1 species
GUAGCAAUACAUCACCGGCGGACGGGUGCGUAACACGUGGGAAUAUACCUUUUGGUUCGGAACAACGCAGGGAAACUUGCGCUAAUACCGAAUGUGCCCUUACGGGGAAAGAUUUAUCGCCAAAGGAUUAGCCCGCGUCCGAUUAGCUAGUUGGUGAGGUAAUGGCUCACCAAGGCUCCGAUCGGUAGCUGUUCUGAGAGGAAGAUCAGCCACACUGGGACUGAGACACGGCCCAGACUCCUACGGGAGGCAGCAGUUGGGAAUCUUGGACAAUGGGGGAAACCCUGAUCCAGCCAUGCCGCGUGAGUGAUGAAGGCCUUCGGG